UCAGGAUUUCCGUCCUCUUUCUCUUGUUUCAUCUGAUCGUAGUGCUACACCCUGUGGCAGCGCGAGGGCUGUGUUCGAGAGGGCUGGUCCCUUAAGGACCAAAAAAUCCAUAGUUUUUCCAAAAAUGAAGAACGAAUUUCCAAAUUGGGGUAUUGGGGUUCCAAAUGUUGCAAACAAUAAAAACACCGCUGGAGAAAUGUAACUUAAUAAAUUAUUAUGUUACAUUUUGAGAAAGUACAUUAUCCAUCUGUGCCAAGUUGUUGCAGCAAGAACUUCUUCAUAUUUGGAAUCUAUGCGAUCGCCGGUAUCGACACAAACGUCACUCCCUGACUACGACCAGCAGGAACGAAAAUGGAAGAGCACAUAUAUAAAAUCACAUAUUUUCGAGUAACAAAACUUUGAUUUGAGGGGUGAUUCCCUCAACUUAGUGUCUACCCGCCCUAUAUUAUUUUUUAUAUUUGGCUAGGACGAUCCUACUCCUGAUGGGCACAGAGUGAAAAUCGUUCACGCCAUUUUUUUAUACAUUGGUAUUACUUAAAACAAAUUAUUUUCUUUGUUACUCGAUAAUGAUGUAUAAUAUAUGAAAUUUUGAAAAAAAAAAUAUUAAUUUCUAUAAUAUAUAAGAAUUAAAGCUAUCAGCAAUGUACUUAUAAAAAACCCAAUUUUAAAAAAGUGUAAAAAACCUAAUCUACAGGGAAGUGCAUUUAAGUUAAAUUGAGUUUUUUUUAAGUUUACGUACAACGUGUCGUUAAAGUGUAAUGUGAAUGUGUAUGUGUGAAAUAAAUCCUUAAAACA